CCCGCUGAACUUAAGCAUAUCAAUAAGCGGAGGAAAAGAANCCNNCAGGGAUUNCCUCAGUAACGGCGAGUGAAGCGGUAACAGCUUAAAUUUGAANUCUGGCUCUUUCAGGGUNCGAGUUGUAAUUUGUAGAAGAUGCUUUGGGUGUAGCACCGGUCUAAGUUCCUUGGAACAGGACGUCAUAGAGGGUGAGAAUCCCGUAUAUGACUGGUGGCUUCCGCCCGUGUAAAGCUCUUUCGACGAGUCGAGUUGUUUGGGAAUGCAGCUCAAAAUGGGUGGUAAAUUUCAUCUAAAGCUAAAUACUGGCCAGAGACCGAUAGCGCACAAGUAGAGUGAUCGAAAGAUGAAAAGCACUUUGGAAAGAGAGUUAAACAGUACGUGAAAUUGUUGAAAGGGAAGCGCUUGCAACCAGACUUGCACGCUGCUGAUCAUCCGGGGUUCUCCCCGGUGCACUCGGUAGUGUUCAGGCCAGCAUCGUUUCUGGCGGGCGGAUAAAGGCCUUGGGAAUGUAGCUUCUUUCGGGGAGUGUUAUAGCCCUCGGUGCAAUGCGNCCUGCCGGGAACGAGGACCGCGCUUCGGCUAGGAUGCUGGCGUAAUGGUUGUAAGCGACC
rnacentral:rRNA from 1 species